UUACAGCUGAAAAUAAAGAUUUGAUUAAAAGGGUCGGCCGAGGACUGCUCGGUUUCGCCGCCGCCGUGUCGUUGCUCUGUGAUUCGCCGGCGUUUGCUGAAUCACUGACAGUAGCUUUUCCUGUUUCUCACAACCGUGAGGUGAAUACUGUACAAAGAACACUUGUGGAGACAUGCGG